CCUGCCCCCCUGCCCCCAGGCCCUGUCUCCCUGCCCCAGGCCCUGUCUCCCUGCCCCAGGCCCUGCCUCCCUGCCCCCAGGCCCUGACUCCCUGCCUUCAGGCCCUGCCUCCCUACCCAGGCCCUGCCUCCUGACCCAGACCCUGCCUCCCUGCCCCCAGGCCCUGCCUCCCUGCCCCCAGGCCCUGCCUCCCUGCCCCCAGGCACUGCCUCCCUGCCCCCAGGCCCUGUCUCCCUGCCCUAGACCCUGCCUCCCUGCCCCCAGGCCCUGUUUCCCUGCCCCAACCCUGUCUCCCUGACUCAGACCUUGUCUCCCUGCCCCUAGGCCCUGUCUCCCUGCCCCCAGGCCCUGUCUCCCUGUCCCAGGCCCUGUCUCCCUGACUCAGACCUUGUCUCCCUGCCCCCAGGCCCUGUCUCCCUGCCCCAACCCUGUCUCCCUGACUCAGACCUUGUCUCCCUGCCCCUAGGCCCUGUCUCCCUGACUCAGACCCUGCCACCCUGCCCCAGGCGCUGUCUCCCUGUCCCCAGACCCUGCCUCCCUGCCCCAGGCCCUGCCUCCCUGCCCCAGGCCCUGCCUCCAGACCCUGACCCUGCCUCCCUGUCCCCAGGCCCUGUCUCCCUGUCCCCAGGCCCUGCCCCCCUGCCCCCAGGCCCUGUCUCCCUGCCCCAGGCCCUGCCUCCCUGCCCCCAGGCCCUGUCUCCCUGCCCCAGGCCCUGCCUCCCUGCCCCCAGGCCCUGUCUCCCUGCCUUCAGGCCCUGUCUCCCUGACCCCAGGCCCUGCCUCCCUGACCCAGGCCCUGCCUCCUGACCCAGACCCUGCUUCCCUGCUCCCAGGCCCUGACUCCCUGCCCCCAGACCCUGCUUCCCUGCCCCCAGGCACUGCCUCCCUGCCCCCAGGCCCUGUCUCCCUGCCCCCAGGCCCUGUCUCCCUGCCCCAGGCCCUGCCUCCCUGCCCCCAGGCCCUGUCUCCCUGCCCCAACCCUGUCUCCCUGACUCAGACCUUGUCUCCCUGACCCCAGGCCCUAUCUCCCUGCCUUCAGGCCCUGUCUCCCUGACCCCAGGCCCUGUCUCCCUGACCCCAGGCCCUAUCUACCUGACCCAGGCCCUGCCUCCCUGACUCAGACCCUGCCUCUCUGUCCCCAGGCCCUGCCUUCUUGACCCAGGCCCUGUCUCCCUGCCCCCAGGCCCUGCCUCCCUGUCCCAGGCCCUGCCUCCCUACCCCCAGGCCCUGCCUCUCUGACCCCAGGCCCUAUCUCCCUGCCCCCAGGCCCUGUCUCCCUGACUCAGACCCUGCCACCCUGCCCCAGGCGCUGUCUCCCUGCCCCAGGCCCUGACUCCCUGUCCCCAGAUCCUGUCUCACUGACCCCAGGCCCUGCCUCCCUGCCCCAGGCACUGCCUCCAGACCCAGACCCUGCCUCCCGACCCAGACCCUGCCUCCCUGCCCCCAGGCCCUGUCUCCCUGCCCCAACCCUGUCUCCCUGACUCAGACCUUGUCUCCCUGCCCCUAGGCCCUGUCUCCCUGCCCCAGGCCCUGCCUCCCUGCCCCCAGGCCCUGUCUCCCUGUCCCAGGCCCUGUCUCCCUGCCCCAGGCCCUGUCUCCCUGACCCCAGGCCCUGUCUCCCUGCCUUCAGGCCCUGUCUCCCUGACCCCAGGCCUUGCCUCCCUGACCCCAGGCCCUGUCUCCCUGUCCCAGGCCCUGUCUCCCUGAUCCCAGGCCCUGUCUCCCUGACCCCAGGCCCUGUCUCCCUGACCCCAGGCCCUGUCUCCUUGACCACAGGCCCUGUCUACCUGACCCAGGCCCUGCCUCCCUGACUCAGGCCCUGCCUCCCUGACUCAGACCCUGCCUCUCUGUCCCCAGGCCCUGUCUCCCUGCCCCCAGGCCCUGUCUCCCUAACUCAGACCCUGCCUCCCUGACUCAGACCCUGCCUCCCUACCCCCAGGCCCUGCCUCCCUGUCCCAGGCCCUGCCCCCCUACCCCCAGGCCCUGCCUCUCUGUCCCCAGGCCCUAUCUCCCUGCCCCAGGCCCUGUCUCCCUGACUCAGGCCCUGCCUCCCUGCCCCCAGGCCCUGUCUCCCUGUCCCAGGCCCUGUCUCCCUGCCCCAGGCCCUGUCUCCCUGACCCCAGGCCCUAUCUCCCUGCCUUCAGGCCCUGUCUCCCUGACCCCAGGCCUUGCCUCCCUGCCCCCAGGCCCUGUCUCCCUGUCCCAGGCCCUGUCUCCCUGCCCCAGGCCCUGUCUCCCUGACCCCAGGCCCUAUAUCCCUGCCUUCAGGCCCUGUCUCCCUGACCCCAGGCCCUGUCUCCCUGACCCCAGGCCCUGUCUACCUGACCCAGGCCCUGCCUCCCUGCCCCCAGGCCCUGCCUCCCUAACUCAGACCCUGCCUCCCUGACUCAGACCCUGCCUCCCUGCCCCCAGGCCCUGCCUCCCUGUCCCAGGCCCUGCCCCCCUACCCCCAGGCCCUGCCUCUCUGUCCCCAGGCCCUAUCUCCCUGCCCCCAGGCCCUGUCUCCCUGACUCAGACCCUGUCUCCCUGCCCCCAGGCCCUGUCUCCCUGAUUCAGACCCUGUCUCUCUGGCCCCAGGCCCUGUCUCUCUGCCCCAGGCCCUGUCUCCCUGCCCCAGGCCCUGCUUCCCUGCCCCCAGGCCCUGCAUCCCUGCCCCAGCUGUGGGAGGGCGAGGCUCAGCGCCCCCCCUCUCCUGCUCUGGGAGGGGCAGGGAAGAGGAGGAGGCCGAUGCUGUCCUCUUAGAUCCUUCCUGGAGCAACGAUGGGUACCGCUGCGGCAGCGAUGCCCAGUGUUAGAAAGGCCAGAGCUAGCUCUGGUAGAAGGUGUCUGUGACGGAAGGCGCCUGCAUUGUUCGUUCUGUCCCCAUCCUGGAGUGAGGGCACCAGAGGCUGGAGAAAGCCCAGCUUCAGGACCACCAACCUUCCAGCACUUUCUGAGACAAGUGGGGACGUUAUGUGUGCCUUGGCCAAAGGUUAGAAGGCCAAGGCACUCACGGGGCUGGCGGGUACGUGGGCUACUUGGCCGCAGCCUCAUUUGUCCCUGAGCGCCGCGCGGCCAGCUGAGGCUGCUGGGAAUUGGCGGAAUGCUCUGCUGCUGAGCUGACACCAGGUCCGGACGGCUCGGCCACGCUGCAGGCUGCCUGUCCUUCAUGACACGCCGCCCCCUCCCACCCCGGCGACCGCAGGGCUCAGGGUCCUCCCAUCACUUGCAGACGCUGGCCUUCCAGAGAAGAGGAGCCACCCGAGGGACAUCGGCCAGGACAGUGAGAAUACACAGCAAACCUUAAAACUCAUUUUUGACAUCAGAGAAAAGGGAUUCUGAGUCCUCGGGAUUGUUGGAGUGCGAGCAGGACUGAUGAGGCUGCUCAGGCUGUCACCCUCGGGAGCAGAACCAGAGUCGGGGCAGGUGUUUUCACUGGAUCUGGUGAAAUCAGUCGUGGCUGAGGUGGGGGCGCGGGGUGUUUGUGUGGCCCUGGGGUCCUCUUGGGGCCAGCACCUCCGGCGGACCUCCGGCCGCAGGCUGAUCACAGCCGGGCGUUUGGAUAAAUGCUACGGAAAUCUGCCACCCGUUCCAGGCGAGCCUUUGGCCAGGCACCCAUGAGGUCCCUUUUGGGCGUUCUGGUGGGGACACAGCCUGAGAUGCCCCUCCCUGGAGAUGGGGUGCCACCGCGGACAGAACCAGCCCGCGGCUGAGCUGCAACCACUACCUGGUGUCCUGAGGCCAGACCCGGACCCUACCAGCCACACUGUCGGCUGCCAGGAGGGUCUGCAGGGGUGGGGGGCAUGCAGCCCCGCUUUCUCCCAGUAUAGAAGUGCCUGGCCGUACCUGUGACCUGCAAUGGCGGCCCAAUCCCAGAGCCCACGUGGCACCGGGACCCCAGGCCGCUCUGGGAGAGGCGGCAGGGCGCGACGGGCACAGCCUGGGACUCAGGGACAGGAGGCUCUGAGCUGCAGCAGCUUGGCCAUCCGCCCCGGCUUAGCCAAGGGGGUCACCGUGUGCGUCAGAUGGCAGUGAUGACACUUACCUGGUUGACCGCUGUGAGUACAGUGGGGCUACGCACCACAGCCUCACAGUCAGGCAUCCAGCGGAUGCUCAGUAAAGGCUGUUCCCUCCCUCCCCCCUCCUGUCACUGGGCAUCUGGGCCUGGGACCCCCAUGAGCUCGCAGCCUUCCACCCGCCCCCGGGGCCACGCUGCCCUUCUCUGGGAGCUUCAGCUCUCUCCCUAGCACAGCGGCCGCAGGGCAUUAGGGCCGCCUGUGUCCUGGGAAGGAAGCAGCUCAUCUGCAGGCACAAGCGGCCCUCUUGGCAGCACUCCUUGCCGACCGCCUCUCACUAAAGCGUGCGCGGGCAGAAGCCGGGCGGCAGUGGCCACGGUGCGUCCGCGCGUUUUGCUGCCAAAAGCAGGGUGCGAGAUGAAGGGGGGCGAGGAGCGAGAGGAAGGGGGAGCACGCGUCCCGGGGCCGGCGCCUGCGGCUAACAUUUAGGGUUUCAAAAACUGUUACCUGAGUCCUCAGUUUAAUCAUGUCGGCCUCCAUCUGCGAGUUGGACUCGUUGAGCUCCUUGAUUUCCUCGUCUAGCUGUUUGAUUUCCUCGUCAUUUUCUAUACCUGUGGGGGUGACAGGACUGCGUUAAAGCCAUCGAACGUGAAGACGGAGUUAGAAUUUUGACUUUUCUUUGUUCUUUUUGUAUUCGGAACUGAAUCUGCUGGACAAAUAUACUCUUGGGUUAAAAAAAACAGUGACAGUUCACGUGGCCGUCCAGCCCUCCCGCUGCCCUCCUCGCCAUCACAGCACCUACACUGCGGAGAGAAUCAGCGGAGCACACGCGACCCCCCCGCACCGCGCGCCGGCCCAGAGCCGCUCUGUCCUGGGGUGGGUGACCUGCUUCAGCCCAUCACCUGCCUCCUUGGUCUGUCCCCUGUCUGUCUGUCUGUCUCUUUCUCUGCCACCCCUGGGGGAUGUGCCAGGCUGUGCGCGGAUGCACCCUCACCAGGCCCAGCCCCGCUGCCCACAGGUGGCCAAACCCCCUGACGCCUGGGGUGCUCAGGGCCACCUCCCGCCUGCGCUGCAAGGAAGCCUCGUGCUGGUGGAGGCAGGUUUCAGGGGCCUUCUGAAGGGCUCUCCGCACGGAGGACAUUUAACUGAUGUAAACAACUCCUCCUUUUGAAUGCAGAAAACGCGCCUCCACCGACAAGGCUGGGGUGGUGGCAGCCUUGUGUGUGCCCUGGGGGCCACGCCGGGCGCCUGGGCUGCUUGCUGGCGGCAGGACACGCCAGGGAGGGAACAAUCCGGACCCUCCGUCGUUCUGGCCAUUGGGUCUCAUGCGGCUGAAUGUACUCGGGGAAGAAGAGCGGGACGCCUGCAGAUGCCAUCACCUUUGAUAACCCGGGACACGGGUCACAGGGCACAGCAGGGGAUGCUCAUGCAAAGCCACGGGAAAGGCACGGAGCCCAGGCCUCGGAGGUCCCAGGGCAGACGCCCUUCUGUGGGUCUGCAGACAGAAGGGGUGCGGCCACCUGGGAGGGAAGGCCCGAGACACGGAGGGACACUGCAGAGGCCCGGUGAGCAGGUCCUUCGUCCCGAAUCUCUUCCCACAGACCCGCCUGGGGAUGCGUGGAUCCUGAGCCUGCCGAGGUCCAUCCCCCCCACAGGGACCGGCUGGGGCUCGCUUGACCCCAAGCCUGGGUCUUGCAGCCCUGGCCCCACCGCAGAGGCCCUGGGUGCGCGUCCCCGGCCUUUGUGUCCCCGGGUCCAGAGCAACUCUGGUCGCCAUCAGAUGCAUCUCCGGAAGCAGUUCACGGCUCCCAGGAAAGCCUUCCAGCGAUGGGGUGUACCCUUUCUCAGGGGCGGGCUGUUACAUUUUCCCCCUUUCCACAUGAGACCAGACUCUGUGGCAACUUUCACAAUUAGGAGUUGGGCUGAGUGAGUUCCUGCAUGUAAUACUUUGCACUCUGGAGACUCGUCCCGGGAGGUGGCCACCGUAAUUAUUGGACCGCCCGAGGCCUAAGCAUCCUGAUUUGUAAGCCCUUUAUCCCCUAACCGGGGCUCACCACGCGUUCCUUUAAGUUGCAACCAGCCCAAGCUCGAGGACGUCUCCGGUGUGCACGGGGCCAUGGCAGUCUCCACGCGACGGCCCCUCCGUGCCUGGGGCUGUGCUGUGUUCCGAGGGAAUUUCUGCUCGGAUUUCUGAGUGGGUCCUUCAUGUCGUAUUUCUUCAGUGUUUCAGGUGUGAACAAUCUUAGAACUUCUCUCUUCGCAGCCGUGCGUGAUAGUUCCCGCGGAACAGAGAACUGCAUGCGCGCGAGGGGCCGUCUCGGGUUCUGGAAGCACGGCAGACUUCCUGCUCUCUCCCACCCCCGAGGCUGGGGUCUCUCCAGUGUCACACUACUUUGAAAGACACCGUUAUUCCCUCAGAAGCUCUCUUCUCCGGGCCCCUGCAGUGGGGGACUGUCUCUCCCCAGGGUCUCUCCCAGGGCCGUGUGUGAAUGCACUGCCCAGAGCAAAAGCAAUCAUCAAACAAAAGGACAGGUUUCUUAUAUCCGUUAGAUAAGAAUUCUAAUUUUUUAUGUAUGUAUCGUGGCUUAAAGUGUCAAAGAGUAGACCUGUUGCGUUUUGAGAAGGUAACCACCGUGGUGGACCCGCACCGGACGGCUGGUGCAGCUCCUUUCCGGGACCGUCAUUGGAUCGGGACAUUGAUUUUGGUUACUUCCUGAUAGCGCGGGUGAUAAAUGUUCUGUGCGCAUGCCUGUUCCCAACAUCAAGAUAGCUUGUUUCCACUGAGAAUGUACGAAUGGAAUUAUGAACGAAACAACUCGUUUCGGGAUAGGCCGUUUGGAGAUCACCACGUAAUCAUAAAGCCCAGAGAACUGUGGGGGAAAUAGUGGGCCUAAGGAUUGCAAUGAAAUCAUCUUAAUUGCCUUGUUAGACAUGCUCUAUCCAUGGUAGCUGAUAUGAAGUGAAGCAUACAGAACAGCCCGAAAUGUCAACAUGUCCUGGGCCUGUAUUCUGGCAAAUGCAAGCUUAGAAGUUGGAUAAAGGUCUGAGAAGAGCACGUGGUCUCCCCAGAAUAUGGCUGAAAUCUUGGAGGUCCAUUCUACUGAUCUGAAUUUUUACAAAAGAGCAUCCAAAAAGACUACUUUCUAUUUAACUUUCAUGGGCACCAACACGUAAGCAGAGGCAGAGAUCACACAACUUGGGAUAGAUAUUUCCUGAAGGCUGGAUGUAUUUCUGAACCGCCCUGGUGCAGGGUUUGAGAAGUCGGGGGGUUACAGCCUGGGAUCUGAAACAUGAUGGACCUGGGAUCUAAAUCCAUGUCCUUCCACUUAAGAGUUUUGUGAUGAGUAAUUUUCUUAGUUCUUCUAAACCUCCAAAUCCUCCACUGCAGAGUGUCCCUCCCUGACACAGUGGUAGGAAGAGAUAACUAAAUCUACAUAAGACACCUGACUCAGUGGGACUUGCCAAGCGGCGGCUAGAGAAGACCGUUGAACAUCAGGAGUUGCCUCAGAAGCCAGAGGCCCCUGAGCAUCCGUGGUCUCCGUGCUUACCUGCCCGAAAAGUGGCAUGGGCUGGUUUUGUCCUGCUAACUCAGUGCUGCGAGCUGACAAAUCAUUAAAGGGAAGAGAAAGAGCAAAAAUAUGGUAUGUGGUCUAGCGCAGUGGGCCUCAUUUUUUGUUGAAUUAAAGAAUUAAAAAAAAAUUUCUUUUUAUAAGUCUUAAAG